rnacentral:rRNA from 1 species
GUUGGUGAGGUAACGGCUCACCAAGGCGACGAUCCCUAGCUGGUCUGAGAGGAUGACCAGCCACACUGGAACUGAGACACGGUCCAGACUCCUACGGGAGGCAGCAGUGGGGAAUAUUGCACAAUGGGCGCAAGCCUGAUGCAGCCAUGCCGCGUGUAUGAAGAAGGCCUUCGGGUUGUAAAGUACUUUCAGCGGGGAGGAAGGUGUUGUGGUUAAUAACCGCAGCAAUUGACGUUACCCGCAGAAGAAGCACCGGCUAACUCCGUGCCAGCAGCCGCGGUAAUACGGAGGGUGCAAGCGUUAAUCGGAAUUACUGGGCGUAAAGCGCACGCAGGCGGUCUGUCAAGUCGGAUGUGAAAUCCCCGGGCUCAACCUGGGAACUGCAUUCGAAACUGGCAGGCUUGAGUCUUGUAGAGGGGGGUAGAAUUCC